UAUUGGGCAAUGGGCGCAAGCCUGACCCAGCAACGCCGCGUGAAGGAUGAAGGUUUUCGGAUUGUAAACUUCUGUCGCGAGGGACGAAGAAUGACGGUACCUCGUAAGAAAGCCCCGGCUAACAACGUGCCAGCAGCCGCGGUAAUACGUAGGGGGCAAGCGUUGUCCGGAAUGACUGGGCGUAAAGGGAGUGUAGGCGGCUUAUCAAGUUAGAUGUGAAAUCCCGCGGCUUAACCGCGGAACUGCAUCUAAAACUGGUGAGCUGGAGUGCAGGAGAGGUGAGUGGAAUUCCUAGUGUAGCGGUGGAAUGCGUAGAUAUUAGGAGGAACACCAGAGGCGAAGGCGACUCACUGGACUGUAACUGACGCUGAGGCUCGAAAGCGUGGGGAGCAAACAGG
rnacentral:rRNA from 1 species